rnacentral:tRNA from 1 species
ACGGCUGUAGCUCAAUCGGCAGAGCAGCGCGCCAGGAGAAAGAUGCAGGUUCAAGCCCUGCCAGCCGUG